rnacentral:rRNA from 1 species
AGUGAAGAAGGCCUUCGGGUUGUAAAGCUCUUUAGCAGAUGAAGAUGAUGACGGUAAUCUGAGAAUAAGUCCCGGCAAACUUCGUGC